GCCCCUGUAGCUCAGUGGAGAGAGCAACGGCCUCCGGAGCCGUGCGCGGGGGUUCGAUUCCCCCCAGGGGCA
rnacentral:tRNA from 1 species